CCGAAAACGGCCGAAAACAGCCGAAGGGCGGGGCCGCUUCAGUGCGGCUGCGCAGUGACGUCAAGGGAGGCUAUAAAAACAGGUGGCCGAGCGCCAUCUCGUUCUUUCGGAGUCGCCUGCAGCCUUUGUCUUCCAUCUGGGUACAAGCUGGGAUGAAGUGACACGUCCAGUGGUAUCAACCAUCAGAUCUUAGGUCCAGAGAAAUGGAGGGGACAUCACUCUUUAGCAAGACCACUUCAAAGAAGUGCUCCUUGGUCACCGUGGCCAAAGAUCAGGGAGUGGGGUGACACCACCUAAAUAAAAGGAGUGGAAAGCAUUCUUGAAGAGACUGCUCUGUCGUAACUUCAUUUGGGGCAUUUCUGCUGUCAACUGGGAAAUGGAUCUCAUCAAAGGCAAUAACUGGCACUUGGAUACAUCUAGCAGUGGUGAACUUGGAUGCUAACUGAAUAUCAGAACAGCAUGUGCCAUUGUGAGUCUCCUCAGAGCUUGAGUCAGAAGCGUGGAAAUUCCAGCAAGUGACUUUAAAAGUGAAGAGGCUUAUGCCCACUGAAGCAGGAGCCCCUAACCAGCUAGCAUUCAAAGGAUGAAGACUUUCAGGACUUUUUAAGCAUCAGUUUAAAGGGAUGUGCCCUGGACAUUCACAAUCAGGGUUUGUGCAGUUUGGAAUCAUGGGGACAGCUAAAGGUCAGUCUGGACUUCCCCUGAAACUAUUCCACAUUCACUGUACAUUUUCAAACUACAAUAAAGAAUGAUUCAAAGA